AUGAUCAUCUGAGGUUCUUAUUAAAUGCAGGUUCUGAUUCAGGCGUGGAGCUAUAGAUUCUGCAUUUCUGGUAAGCCCUCAAGCAGUGCUAAU
rnacentral:pre_miRNA from 1 species